rnacentral:rRNA from 1 species
UACAGAGGGUGCGAGCGUUGUCCGGAAUCACUGGGCGUAAAGGGCGCGUAGGCGGCCCGGUAAGGUUGCGGUGAAAGCCCGGGGCUCAACCCCGGGUCGGCCGUGGCAACUGCUGGGCUGGAGCACAGUAGAGGCGGGUGGAAUUCCGGGUGUAGCGGUGGAAUGCGUAGAGAUCCGGAAGAACACCAAAGGCGAAGGCAGUGUCCUGGGGAGUACCUGACGCUCAGGUGCGAAAGCCAGGGGAGCGAACGGG